rnacentral:rRNA from 1 species
GAUGAACGCUGGCGGCGUGCCUAACACAUGCAAGUCGAACGGAAAGGCUCCUGCUUGCAGGGGUACUCGAGUGGCGAACGGGUGAGUAACACGUGGGUGAUCUGCCAUGCACUUCGGGAUAAGCCUGGGCAACUGGGUCUAAUACCGGAUAGGACGAUGGUUUGGAUGCCAUUGUGGAAAGUUUUUCGGUGUGGGGUGGGCUCGCGGCCUAUCAGCUCGUUGGUGGGGUAGUGGCCUACCAAGGCGACGACGGGCAGCCGGCCUGAGAGGGGGUCCGGCCACAUUGGGCUGGGGAUACGACCCAGACUCCAACGGGAGGCAGCGGUGGAGAAUAUAGCACAAGAGGCGCAAGCCUGGUGCAACGACGCCGCGUGGGGUAUGUCAGGCAGCGGGUAGGAAUGUCCCUUCGCUUGAGACGAGACGAAAGUGACGGUACCUGGAGAAGAAGCACCGGCUAACUACGUG